rnacentral:rRNA from 1 species
GACGAACGCUGGCGGCGUGCUUAACACAUGCAAGUCGAACGGAGAGGCCCUGCUGGUGUGGGGUUCUCGGGUGGCGAACGGGUGAGUAACACGUGAGUAGCCUUCCCUUGACUGUGGGAUAACUUCAGGAAACUGGGGCUAAUACCGGGUAGGAGCUCCUGCUUCGUGGUGGGGGUUGGAAAGUUUCGGCGGUUGGGGAUGGACUCGCGGCUUAUCGGCUUGUUGGUGGGGUAGUGGCUUACCAAGGCUUGGACGGGUAGCCGGCCUGAGCGGGUUACCGGCCACAUUGGGACUGAGAUACGGCACAGACUCCUACGGGAGGCAGCAGUGGGGAAUAGUGCACAAUGGGAGGAAGCAUGAUGCAGCAACGCCGCGUGCGGGAUGACGGCAUUCGGGUUGUAAACCGCUUUCGCAUGUGAAGAAGAGUGAGUGACGGUAAUGGGUAAAGAAGCACCGGCUAAAUACGUG